UACCGGCACCCCGAGUGGUCGGGGCGAUUAUUGGGCCUAAAGCAUCCGUAGCCGGUUCUACAAGUCUUCCGUUAAAUCCACCUGCUUAACAGAUGGGCUGCGGAGGAUACUAUGGAGCUAGGAGGCGGGAGAGGCAAGCGGUACUUAGUGGGUAGGGGUAAAAUCCGUUGAUCCAUUGAAGACCACCAGUGGCGAAGGCGGCUUGCCAGAACGCACUCGACGGUGAGGGAUGAAAGCUGGGGGAGCAAACCGG
rnacentral:rRNA from 1 species